rnacentral:lncRNA from 1 species
UCUUCCCCUGUUCUGAAACAAAGCUAACAACCGUAUCCCCUUUUCCGUGAGCCAAUCCACAUCUUUCCCAACUCCUCCCGCGAUGCAAAACCAAUCUCCCCAGCAUCUAGAUCUCAUCCCAUUCGGAACGGAAUUCCAUCGCCCAUGGAUUAAGCCCAUCCUCUCCGCAUCUUCAGCCGUAUGCACCAAUCAUGCAUCCACACCAUCCCCUAUUUUCCAGCCAUGCCGAGCAUCACGGAAGAAGCUCACGCGUGCAUGAUCCACAUCGUCCGCAGUCCAAGGAUUUCCUCCCAGCCGGAUGAGCAUCCAAACUUCUUCCCCUCUGCGUGAAACAGCAUGAUCCUAUCACCUCCCAGAUCCCCCAGCUCUCAUCUCGUUCCCAGUUCAUUCCCAUCUCCACGGAUAAGCUCCCAGCCAACUCAUCUUUACCGGAUCUCCUGUUACAACAAAACAAAACAUGAGAUUAUCCUCACAGGUUGUUCAAGCGAUCGGGACUAGAGCCAGCAGAG